UCUCAACGUAAUAAGGAAAGAAAACAAUCGUAUGCUGAGGUUUCCAAGAUCUAUGUGUGUGGCUCAUCCUGGUGGAAGCUCCGUGUGCCCUGGAGAAGAGUAUAACAGCGGCACGUGCCCCAGGCUCUCCGAGGACCAGCGAGGGCAGGCAUGGGCGGAACGUGGAGCAGGCAACACCAGGCAACGGUCGCAGAUGGGGACACUGAGGCCUCAAGGGAUAACCUUGGAGCGCACAAAGCUGACGUCCUGUGGCUGCGCUGGAGCCACAGGCCUGGCAGCUGGCAGGAGGGUCCAGGCAGAGCGUGGGACCCCUGCCCAUCUUCCUUCCCUCUGCUGGGGGACCGAGGUUCUGUGGCCGGAUAACAGCCCGCCCCGAGGGCUCGCUCAGCCCUGGUCCUCUACGCAAGCUCUCUGGUUGUCUCCCGGUCAGCACACCCCGUGGAUGGAGAAACUGAAGGUGACACCCCUUGUCCCAGAACACAUUGGCAGUAAAUGGUGGUGGGUCAUCAUACCCGGUGGCCUGACCCCAGAGCCAACUGCAAAGUGACGGAACUCUUUAAGCCUCCGAGGUAGACCCCCUUUCUCUUUGCCAUCACUGCCCUGUGGGGCCCCUCCCCACAGCCGGGAGACCUUGCCUAAGAGCAGGCAUGCAGUCAGUGGCCGGAACCCCAGGGGGAAGCGAGUCCCUGCAUCUGACGAGACUUCCACAGGCACCUUCUUUGUAAGAAGGAGGGUGCGUGGGCUGCAUUGGGUCCCCCAAGAUGAUGUGUUGAAGUCCCAAACCCGGUGCUUGUGAGUGUGACCUUAUCUGGAAGCUGGGUUUUUGCAGAUGUCAUCAAGUUAAGCUGAGGUCAGCAGGACAGGCCCCAAAUCCGAUAGGACUGGAGUCCUUGUAAGGAGAGGGAGUUCUGGAUAUACGGAGAGGGGAGAAGGACGCGUGAGGAC
rnacentral:lncRNA from 1 species